rnacentral:rRNA from 1 species
AGAGUUUGAUCCCGGCUCAGAAUCAACGCUGGCGGCGCGCUUAACACAUGCAAGUCGCACGAGAAAGGGAGCAAUCCUAAGUAAAGUGGCGCACGGGUGAGUAACACGUGGAUCAUCCACCUUCUUGUGGGGAAUAACCCGGGGAAACCCGAGCUAAUACCGCAUAAGCCCGAGAGGGGAAAGCAGCAAUGCGCAGGAAGAGGAGUCCGCGGUCGAUUAGCUAGUUGGUAGGGUAAAGGCCUACCAAGGCUAUGAUCGAUAGCCGGCCUGAGAGGGCACACGGCCACACUGGCACUGAAACACGGGCCAGACUCCUACGGGAGGCAGCAGUGGGGAAUCUUGCACAAUGGGGGAAACCCUGAUGCAGCGACGCCGCGUGGGUGAUGAAGUCCUUCGGGAUGUAAAGCCCUUUCGACGGGGACGAUAAUGACGGUACCCGGAGAAGAAGCUGCGGCUAACUACGUGCCAGCAGCCGCGGUAAUACGUAGGCAGCAAGCGUUGUUCGGAGUUACUGGGCGUAAAGAGUAUGUAGGCGGUUGGGUAAGUUUGGUGUGAAAUCUCCCGGCUUAACUGGGAGGGUGCGCUAAAGACUGCCUGGCUUGAGUGUGGGAGAGGAAAGCGGAAUUCCUGGUGUAGCGGUGAAAUGCGUAGAUAUCAGGAGGAACACCUGCGGUGUAGACGGCUUUCUGGACCAUAACUGACGCUGAGAUACGAAAGCGUGGGUAGCAAACAGGAUUAGAUACCCUGGUAGUCCACGCCCUAAACGAUGCAUACUUGGUGUUGGCCAUUCACUUGGUCGGUGCCGGAGCUAACGCGUUAAGUAUGCCGCCUGGGGAGUACGGUCGCAAGGCUGAAACUCAAAGGAAUUGACGGGGGCCCGCACAAGCGGUGGAGCAUGUGGUUCAAUUCGACGCAACGCGAAGAACCUUACCUGGGCUCGAACGGCUGGUCAACGGCGGUGGAAACAUCGCUACUCCGCAAGGAGGUCCAGUCGAGGUGCUGCAUGGCUGUCGUCAGCUCGUGUCGUGAGAUGUUGGGUUAAGUCCCGCAACGAGCGCAACCCUUGUCCUGUGUUGCCAUCAUUAAGUUGGGAACUCGCAGGAGACCGCCAGCGAUAAGUUGGAGGAAGGUGGGGAUGACGUCAAGUCAUCAUGGCCUUUAUGUCCAGGGCUACACACGUGCUACAAUGGCCGGUACAAUACGACGCUAACCCGCGAGGGGGCGCUAAUCGCUAAAAACCGGUCUCAGUUCGGAUUGCAGGCUGCAACUCGCCUGCAUGAAGCUGGAAUCGCUAGUAAUGGCGUAUCAGAACGACGCCGUGAAUACGUUCCCGGGCCUUGUACACACCGCCCGUCACAUCACGAAAGUGGGUUGUACUACAAGUCCGCCUAAAACGGCCCAAGGUAUGACUCAUGAUUGGGGUGAAGUCGUAACAAGGUAGCCGUAGGAGAACCUGCGGCUG